rnacentral:rRNA from 2 species
AAGCCAGUCGAAGAUACCAGCUGGCUGCAACUGUUUAUUAAAAACACAGCACUGUGCAAACACGAAAGUGGACGUAUACGGUGUGACGCCUGCCCGGUGCUGGAAGGUUAAUUGAUGGGGUCAGCCGUAAGGCGAAGCUCCUGAUCGAAGCCCCAGUAAACGGCGGCCGUAACUAUAACGGUCCUAAGGUAGCGAAAUUCCUUGUCGGGUAAGUUCCGACCUGCACGAAUGGCGUAAUGAUGGCCAGGCUGUCUCCACCCGAGACUCAGUGAAAUUGAACUCGCUGUGAAGAUGCAGUGUACCCGCGGCAAGACGGAAAGACCCCGUGAACCUUUACUAUAGCUUGACACUGAACAUUGAGCCUUGAUGUGUAGGAUAGGUGGGAGGCUUUGAAGUGUGGACGCCAGUCUGCAUGGAGCCAACCUUGAAAUACCACCCUUUAACGUUUGAUGUUCUAACCUAGGCCCAUAAACUGGGUCGGGGACCGUGUCUGGUGGGUAGUUUGACUGGGGCGGUCUCCUCCUAAAGAGUAACGGAGGAGCACGAAGGUUGGCUAAGCAUGGUCGGACAUCAUGCGGUUAGUGCAAAGGCAUAAGCCAGCUUGACUGCGAGAGUGACGGCUCGAGCAGGUACGAAAGUAGGUCUUAGUGAUCCGGUGGUUCUGAAUGGAAGGGCCAUCGCUCAACGGAUAAAAGGUACUCCGGGGAUAACAGGCUGAUACCGCCCAAGAGUUCAUAUCGACGGCGGUGUUUGGCACCUCGAUGUCGGCUCAUCACAUCCUGGGGCUGAAGUAGGUCCCAAGGGUAUGGCUGUUCGCCAUUUAAAGUGGUACGCGAGCUGGGUUUAGAACGUCGUGAGACAGUUCGGUCCCUAUCUGCCGUGGGCGUUGGAAGAUUGAGAGGGGUUGCUCCUAGUACGAGAGGACCGGAGUGAACGCACCACUGGUGUUCGGGUUGUCAUGCCAAUGGCAUUGCCCGGUAGCUAAGUGCGGAAGAGAUAACCGCUGAAAGCAUCUAAGCGGGAAACUUGCCUCGAGAUGAGUCUUCCCUGUCGCUUUAAGUGACCUAAAGGAACGUUUAAGACUAAGACGUUGAUAGGCUGGGUGUGUAAGCGUAGCGAUACGUUGAGCUAACCAGUACUAAUGAACCGUGAGGCUUAACCUG